rnacentral:tRNA from 1 species
AUUGGGUUAGUUUAAAACAAAACAUCAGAUUGUGGGUCUGAAAAUGACUACUAAGUUACCUAAUA